rnacentral:rRNA from 1 species
AACGAACGCUGGCGGCAGGCCUAACACAUGCAAGUCGAGCGCUGUAGCAAUACGGAGCGGCGCACGGGAUAAUAACGCGUGGGAACCUACCUUAUGGUUCGGAAUAACAUCGGGAAACUGGUGCUAAUACCGGAUAAGCCCUUCGGGGGAAAGAUUUAUUGCCAUUAGAUGGGCCCGCGUUAGAUUAGCUAGUUGGUGAGGUAACGGCUCACCAAGGCGACGAUCUAUAGCUGGUCUGAGAGGAUGAUCAGCAUCACUGGGACUGAGACACGGCCCAGACUCCUACGGGAGGCAGCAGUGGGGAAUAUUGGACAAUGGGGGAAACCCUGAUCCAGCCAUGCCGCGUGAAUGAUGAAGGCCUUCGGGUUGUAAAGUUCUUUUGACGGGGACGAUGAUGACGGUACCCGUAGAAUAAGCUCCGGCUAACUUCGUGCCAGCCGCCGCGGUAA